UAUAUAUUAACUCUUUCAAUUUACAAGAAUUUUCUUGACCACUCAAUAUAGCAGCAUACAUUUUUUAUACUUUAACUGUGAUUAAGCAGAGAAGCCUGAAGUACUUUUCUAUAAUUAACUGCUCAACUGUGUUAGAGAAUGAAAACAGCUUUCAGAAGUAGAUCUGACAUUCACCAACAGCCGGGAGAGGACAGAGCUGAUGUCUUUUCUACCUAUGAACGAACAGUUUUGUCCUUCAGAGCUGGUGACCUUGGUUUCUUUCUGAAAGAUACCUGAACUCUAGCCAAUGCUGCUUUAGGAUUUGAUGGACCACCUGACCCAUCUCAAAGGAGAAAGAAGAAUAAAGUUUUUCAAAGGUCACAUCUCAGCCAUUUACAAUUUUUUGUUACGUUUCUGUCAUGGCUGAAGAUUGUAUUCAGACAAUUGCAACAAAAACAGCCAAAGUCAAAAUGAACCAACGAACACAACAGAAAUGGAGAAAGAAGGGGAAAAAAAAAAAGAGCUUCUGUCUAGGGUUCAAAUGCUUCCACUCCUUCAACAUAUUCACUGGAAAGAGGAAGAAGGAAAUUGGAAACAGGCUAUCACUUCCCUGGAUGGUUCCUUCUGCUCCGACAUUUGCAGAAUCAAAGCUUUAGCCAGACGGCCAUCACUCUUCACAUGCAGGCGCACACGUGUGUUAAAAGUUCCUCAGUGAUAUCUCCAUCGUGUUGAAGACACACAUUGUAUACGGCAUAUUGCAUGAUGAGGUUUUGAUCAUCUUUUUCAUCUUUGGCUGCUGCCAUCACCCCCAAUUUAUACCCUGUACUUCACUUCUACACGUUUCGUAGAGCUCCCUGAAGGCACCAAGCUCUCCCAAGCUUUCCUGCCUUCAUAUAUGUCAUUCCCUCUGUCUGAUGUGUCAUAUCCUCACCACCUUCCAUCACCAACCUAGUGAACUUUUUGUUCAAUCUUAGAAAUUCAGCUUAUAUCACCUUCUUCAUGUAACUUUUGCUAACCUUCCCAUUGCCUGAAAGAAUGCUACAUUUGUUUUAUGACUGACCCCCAAAUAGACUGUGGGUUCCUGAAGUGUAGGUUCCCUAUUCUAUACAUCUUUGUAUCCCCAGAGUCUAGCUCAGUGGAGCUGAUUGAACAAGUAAAUAAAUAGAUGAAACUCUGAUACA
rnacentral:lncRNA from 1 species